AAUAAAUGAACAUGAAAUAAAUAAACAAAUAAAGCUUGUUUUAAUGGACUGGAUCAGAUUCCAGGAGAACAAACACACCUGAGCUGAGUCGAAGAAACUGAACUGCUACCCAAACAAACGCACAGGCUGGCCAGGAGGUAUUGGAAUACACCAAGAGGACGUCACUGAGGCUGAGACCUGUUGAGAGGAGUGUGACUGGACCGGGCGGCUGUCUGAUUUGGACCGACUCCUCAGGGUACCAGGUGAUAAAUGGGCUAGCAGGCGCUGGAGGGAGGGACGACAGGGUCCUUAGUUGGUGCCGACCUCUGCUGGCUGGUCGAGACA